AAACCAUGAUGAGGACACUCUAAAAUAAGAUCUUUAAAUCGUUCCAUAUUUCAAGAGAAUGAUUCGUUGGGUCACUGUCGAAACUGGAGAAUGUCGUUCCUAAGUUU
rnacentral:snoRNA from 1 species